AUGUUCACGUUGAUGAGAAGAGUAGCGAGCAGCGCCGUUUUCAGUGACCGCCGUAAGUGCAAAGGCGGACGGUUAACCCCGCGAAGAUGAGCUUGGAGUGUUGAAAAGUGGUCGCAGGGCUGCUUUUCCGGUAGGACCCGUUACUGUCCCUGGCAUCCAUGGGGUGCUGUAGAGGCCGUUAGGGUAAUCUAGCGGUAAACAAGGGUGGCACCACGAGUAAUCGUCCCUGGA
rnacentral:ncRNA from 1 species